CCAAUAGCGUAUAUUAAAGUUGUUGCAGUUAAAAAGCUCGUAGUUGAAUUUUAGGCUUGGCCAGGCGGUCCGUCUUUGGCGAGUACUGUUCUGUGUCGGGUCUUUCUUUCUGGUUAACCGGUGUGCUCUUUAUUGAGCGUGCCGUGGGAGCCAGGACCAUUACCUUGAAACAAUUAGAGUGUUUAAAGCGGGCAUUUGCUUGAAUAGAUUAGCAUGGAAUAAUAAAAUAGGACGUUGGUUCUAUUUUGUUGGUCUAGGACCACCGUAAUGAUUAAUAGGGAUAGUUGGGGGCAUUAGUAUUCAAUUGUCAGAGGUGAAAUUCUUGGAUUUAUUGAAGACUAACUAUUGCGAAAGCAUUUGCCAAGGAUGUUUUCAUUAAUCAAGAACGAAAGUUAGGGGAUCGAAGACGAUCAGAUACCGUCGUAGUCUUAACCAUAAACUAUGCCGACUAGGAAUCGGGCGUCGUUAUUUUCACGACUCGCUCGGCGCCUUAUG
rnacentral:rRNA from 1 species